UUUUGGGUGGUGGUGGGUUAUUCUCAGCACUGCAGUGAUUAGCAGUGAUUAGCAUGGUGGUGGUGUAUGAGGUGUUAGUGUGUGGUUGAGCUGGUACAGUGAGUGGAUCAGAUACAGCAGUGAUUAGCAUGGUGGUGGUGUAUGAGGUGUUAGUGUGUGUUGAUCUGGUACAGUGAGUGGAUCAGAUACUGCAGUGAUUAGCACUGAUUAGCAUGGUGGUGGUGUAUGAGGUGUUAGUGUGUGUUGAGCUGGUGGUACAGUGAGUGGAUCAGAUACAGCAGUGAUUAGCAUGGUGGUGGUGUAUGAGGUGUUAGUGAGUGUUGAGCUGGUGGUACAGUGAGUGGAUCAGAUACUGCAGUGAUUAGCAUGGUGGUGGUGUAUGAGGUGUUAGUGAGUGUUGAGCUGGUGGUACAGUGAGUGGAUCAGAUACAGCAGUGAUUAGCAGUGAUUAGCAUGGUGGUGGUGUAUGAGGUGUUAGUGAGUGUUGAGCUGGUACAGUGGAUCAGAUACAGCAGUGAUUAGCAGUGAUUAGCAUGGUGGUGGUGUAUGUGGUGUUAGUGAGUGUUGAGCUGGUGGUACAGUGAGUGGAUCAGAUACAGCAGUGAUUAGCAUGGUGGUGGUGUAUGAGGUGUUAGUGAGUGUUGAGCUGGUGGUACAGUGAGUGGAUCAGAUACAGCAGUGAUUAGCAGUGAUUAGCAUGGUGGUGGUGUAUGAGGUGUUAGUGAGUGUUGAGCUGGUACAGUGAGUGGAUCAGAUACAGCAGUGAUUAGCAGUGAUUAGCAUGGUGGUGGUGUAUGAGGUGUUAGUGUCUGUUGAGCUGGUGGUACAGUGAGUGGAUCAGAUACAGCAGUGAUUAGCAGUGAUUAGCAUGGUGGUGGUGUAUGAGGUGUUAGUGUGUGGUUGAGCUGGUACAGUGAGUGGAUCAGAUACAGCAGUGAUUAGCAUGGUGGUGGUGUAUGAGGUGUUAGUGUGUGUUGAGCUGGUACAGUGAGUGGAUCAGAUACAGCAGUGAUUAGCAUGGUGGUGGUGUAUGAGGUGUUAGUGAGUGUUGAGCUGGUGGUACAGUGAGUGGAUCAGAUACAGCAGUGAUUAGCAGUGAUUAGCAUGGUGGUGGUGUAUGAGGUGUUAGUGUUGUUGAGCUGGUGGUACAGUGAGUGGAUCAGAUACAGCAGUGAUUAGCAUGGUGGUGGUGUAUGAGGUGUUAGUGAGUGUUGAGCUGGUGGUACAGUGAGUGGAUCAGAUACAGCAGUGAUUAGCAGUGAUUAGCAUGGUGGUGGUGUAUGAGGUGUUAGUGAGUGUUGAGCUGGUGGUACAGUGAGUGGAUCAGAUACAGCAGUGAUUAGCAGUGAUUAGCAUGGUGGUGGUGUAUGAGGUGUUAGUGAGUGUUGAGCUGGUGGUACAGUGAGUGGAUCAGAUACAGCAGUGAUUAGCAUGGUGGUGGUGUAUGAGGUGUUAGUGUUUGUUGAGCUGGUAUUAGUUGAAGUAGACUGUGUUUGUCUAUUGUUGUGACAUAGAUGAACAUCAGAACAAAUUUAAUGACCAAUUUAUGCAGAAAUCCAAGUAAUCCCAAAGGGUUUUACACACUUUUCCUGCAACUGUAUUAUAUAUUGCUAAUAUUUGUCAGUACAGUGUAUUUAGUGUGUUAUAUGUGUGCAUAUGAGCACAUGAGCUUCAGUUUGAGCUUAAAGAUCUUACAGAUAAUCUCUUUGGGGGCUGUUGAUUUGCUUAACAUUAAAUUAGAGUAACAGUUUUUAAGCUCCUGCCAGGUACACUGCUGCUGCCGCUGCCGGGGGGUACCUGUAUCAACUCGCUCUGACAGGAAUUUGCAUAGUGAAGAAGCUCCAAACUGUACAGUUUUUUUUCUGUUAUCUUCUAAAGAACAGAGCUGGAUGUCUACAGAUGCGUCCACACUGAGAAUCAGAACAAUCUGAUUCAAAAUGCAUUUCAAUUCACCUCCAUAUGAUUUUAUGUUGUCGCGGCUGUCUAGAUCUGGAUACAAUCAGACAAAAAAAUCAGAUUAGAUCUAGCAGUCUGAACAUCGUAACAUCAGUCUUAGGGCACUAUUUUAUCGAGCUACAUGUGAAGGUCAACUCUGCACUGUGCAGCUUGAUUUAGGGUGUGUCAGUGCUAUAGCAACGACAGGAAAAGUACACCUCGAAACGAGCAAAAGUUGUAAUAUGUAAUGUAAUAAUUCUCUUAAUUAAUUUUGGGCGUAACGUGAAAUAAUAAACCAAUCAGAGCGUCAUCUGUUUGCUCAUCAUUCUCUUUAAGAGUAGAUCAGGUGAGCUCUGACUUUGGCGGAUUGCUAUUGUAACGGUGCAGCUACCUGGACGUGUCCAACAAACUCUUCUCAGCAGAGGAAACUGAGCUGCUGGUUGACGCUGUGAAGGAGCUCCAGCAGCUCAUUUACGGGAACAGCAAUGUUAUUUUAUUUACUAUUCCGUUUAUUGUUGAUGUAAAAGUUGGGUUUGUGCUGCUGUGUGUUCAUGUGUGUGUAAUAAGUGGGGGCGUACGCUCGGCUCGGCACAGCGCCUGUGUUACCGAGAUAGCGAUAAACGUCUGACUGUUGGCGUCUGUCUAGGUUGUAUUCAGUCAGUGGAGCACCUGUGUUUUCUGUUACCAAGAUAAACAAGAUAAAACUCCAGAAAUGUACCUGAACACACCUCAUUUCCAGAACACCACGCCCAUCAGUGUAGAUAUAUUCAGAAGCUCUGCUGCUGUCUAAACCAGGCAGGAGGAAAGACGCAGAAAGUGAUAGGAUUAUGUCAAUAUGGUCUAAUAUGUAUCAAAGCUAUAGACCAUCUAUAAUCGUUAUGCUUUCCUGUAGAGUGUCAGGACGUUUAUGUACUAAAAAUGCAAAAUAUCUGUUAGAUUUGCUUAAAAUUAAAUUAGAGUAACAGUUUUUUAGCUCCUGCCAGUUUUGCUGCCACUGUUUGUGCUGGGGGGUACCUGUAUAAACUCGCUCUGGCAGGAAUUUGCAUACUGAAGAAGCUCAACACCAAAUUGUACCGUUCUUCCUUAAUCUCCUAAAAAUAUACUUCCCGCAGCCGACUGUUAAUUCUGUUCCUCCAGAGCUGCUGGGAGAAAUACAUUUCAGUCCUCUACUCAUUUAUCUUAGCUUAGCUAACCAGCCCCCGAAUUCCUCUGUAGCUUUUUAACUCUAACCAACAUGACUCAACAAAACUGCAGUUAAUUAGCAGCUACAGAGCCGCAAAAAUGCUUUGAAGUGAAUAUUUCCCCUAUUAAGGCAAGUGUGGUGCUUCUUUAGUGUAGCAUUGGAGCUAGCAAUGAGGCUAACAGCUAAAAAAUAAUAAUGGGAACUUGUGGUGCAUUCACAUGCUAGUCGGAAUUACCAGAACAUCACGUUCAAAGAUUGCGGAUGCAUGUGUUUAAUCUCACGUUUCACAAUCCCGCAGCUUUUAUGAAGCAGGUUAGUCUUUGAAUGGAAUCAUGUUCACAAAUAGAAGUUAGAUAGAAGUUGGACAGUACUGUGUGUAGGACUGAUUUAAUGAGAUACUAAUAGAUAGAAGUGAUAAUAAGCUGUAUAAUACUAUUUUUUGCUUUACUACUGCAAUAAAAUGAUGAGUUUCUUUGAUUUUACCAAAUUGAAAACCUCUGGAAUAUAAUCAAGAGGAAGAUGGAUGAUCACAAACCAUCAAACCACCAAACUGAACUGCUUGAAUUUUUGCACCAAGAAUGAAGCAGCAUAAAGUUAUCCAAAAGCAGUGUGUAAGACUGGUGGAGGUGAACGUGAUGCCAAGAUGCAUGAAAAAAAAAACUGUGAUUAAAAACCAACCAGGGUUAUUCCACCAAAUAUUGAUUAUUUCUGAACUCUUAAAACUUUAUGAAUAUGAACUUGUUUUUUUUUUCAUUAUUUGAGGUCUGAAAGCUCUGCAUCUUUUUUGUGUUUUAUUUCAGCCAUUUCUCAUUUUCUGCUAAACAAAAUGCUCUAAAUGAUUACAAGCUAACAAGCAUUACAUUACAU